rnacentral:rRNA from 1 species
AUUGAACGCUGGCGGCAGGCUUAACACAUGCAAGUCGAGCGGGGGAAGGUAGCUUGCUACCGGACCUAGCGGCGGACGGGUGAGUAAUGCUUAGGAAUCUGCCUAUUAGUGGGGGACAACAUCUCGAAAGGGAUGCUAAUACCGCAUACGUCCUACGGGAGAAAGCAGGGGAUCUUCGGACCUUGCGCUAAUAGAUGAGCCUAAGUCGGAUUAGCUAGCUGGUGGGGUAAAGGCCUACCAAGGCGACGAUCUGUAGCGGGUCUGAGAGGAUGAUCCGCCACACUGGGACUGAGACACGGCCCAGACUCCUACGGGAGGCAGCAGUGGGGAAUAUUGGACAAUGGGAGGAACCCUGAUCCAGCCAUGCCGCGUGUGUGAAGAAGGCCUUAUGGUUGUAAAGCACUUUAAGCGAGGAGGAGGCUACUCUAGUUAAUACCUAGGGAUAGUGGACGUUACUCGCAGAAUAAGCACCGGCUAACUCUGUGCCAGCCGCCGCUGUAA